AUACUUACCUGGCAGGGGAGAUACCAUGAUCACGAAGGUGGUUUUCCCAGGGCGAGGCUUAUCCAUUGCACUCCGGAUGUGCUGACCCCUGCGAUUUCCCCAAAUGUGGUAAACUCGACUGCAUAAUUUGUGAUAGUGGGGGACUGCGUUCGCGCUUUUCCCUG
rnacentral:snRNA from 10 species